rnacentral:rRNA from 2 species
UGGGGAAUAUUGCACAAUGGGCGAAAGCCUGAUGCAGCAACGCCGCGUGAGUGAUGAAGGCCUUCGGGUUGUAAAGCUCUGUCUUCUGGGACGAUAAUGACGGUACCAGAGGAGGAAGCCACGGCUAACUACGUGCCAGCAGCCGCGGUAAUACGUAGGUGGCAAGCGUUGUCCGGAUUUACUGGGCGUAAAGGAUGCGUAGGCGGAUAUAUAAGUCAGAUGUGAAAUACCCGGGCUCAACUUGGGUGCUGCAUUUGAAACUGUAUAUCUAGAGUGCGGGAGAGGUAAGUGGAAUUCCUAGUGUAGCGGUGAAAUGCGUAGAGAUUAGGAAGAACACCAGUGGCGAAGGCGACUUACUGGACCGUAACUGACGCUGAGGCAUGAAAGCGUGGGGAGCAAACA